rnacentral:sRNA from 1 species
UGACCGUAUAAUAGAGUUUGCGGGUCC